UGGGGUGUCGCCAAGUGGUAAGGCACGGGAUUUUGAUUCCCGCAUACCCAGGUUCGAAUCCUGGCACCCCAGCCA
rnacentral:tRNA from 1 species